rnacentral:rRNA from 1 species
AGCGAACGCUGGCGGCAGGCCUAACACAUGCAAGUCGAACGAACUCUUCGGAGUUAGUGGCGGACGUGUGAUUACCACGUGGGAACGUGCCUUUUGGUUCGGAAUAACUCAGGGAAACUUGUGCUAAUACCGAAUGUGCCCUUCGGGGGAAAGAUUUAUCGCCAUUAGAGCGGCGCGCGUCUGAUUAGCUGGUUGGUGAGGUAACGGCACACCAAGGCGACGAUCAGUACCUGGUCUGAGCGGGGGACCAGCCGCGCUUGGACUACGGCACAGACCAGACCCGUACGGAGGGCAGGAGUAGGGAAUCUUACGCAAUGGGCGAAAGCCUGACGCCGCCAUGCCGCGUGAAUGAUGAAGGUCGUAGGAAUGUACUUCCCUUUCAGCGGAGACGAUAAUGACGGUACCUGGAGAAGAAGCCCCGGCUAACUUCGUG